rnacentral:rRNA from 1 species
UGUUGCCUACGGGAGGCAGCAGUGAGGAAUAUUGGUCAAUGGACGCAAGUCUGAACCAGCCAAGUAGCGUGCAGGAUGACGGCCCUCCGGGUUGUAAACUGCUUUUAGUUGGGAAUAAAAGGGGGCUCGUGAGCCCCGUAUUGUAUGUACCAUCAGAAAAAGGACCGGCUAAUUCCGUGCCAGCAGCCGCGGUAAUACGGAAGGUCCGGGCGUUAUCCGGUUUUAUUGGGUUUAAAUGGAGCGUAGGCCAGCUUUUAAGUCAGCUGUGAAAGUCCGCGGCUCAACAGUG